AUUGAACGCUGGCGGCAGGCCUAACACAUGCAAGUCGAGCGGAUGAAGGGAGCUUGCUCCUGGAUUCAGCGGCGGACGGGUGGGUAAUGCCUAGGAAUCUGCCUGGUAGUGGGGGAUAACGUCCGGAAACGGGCGCUAAUACCGCAUACGUCCUGAGGGAGAAAGUGGGGGAUCUUCGGACCUCACGCUAUCAGAUGAGCCUAGGUCGGAUUAGCUAGUUGGUGGGGUAAAGGCCUACCAAGGCGACGAUCCGUAACUGGUCUGAGAGGAUGAUCAGUCACACUGGAACUGGGGCAAGGUCCCGACUCCUACGGGAGGGAGCAGUGGGGAAUUUUGGGCAAUGGGGGAAAGCCUUAUCCAGCCAAGGCGGGUGGGUGAAGAAGGUCUUCGGAUUGUAAAGCACUUUAAGUUGGGAGGAAGGGCAGUAAGUUAAUACCUUGCUGUUUUGACGUUACCAACAGAAUAAGCACCGGCUAACUUCGUG
rnacentral:rRNA from 1 species